GUGAUUGAUUUGCAACAUGAGCAAAUACUUCACCUUCGCUUAAGUCAAACAGUAAACCUCCUUGCAGCUGCAGUAAUGCAAAAUCUUCUCCCAAUUAAAACAAAAGAAGAAGAAUUCUGAUAAUUUAGUGACAAAUGUGCUUGAUUGAGAAAUUAUUCAGUGAGAGCAACACCAAAAUGGGAAGAGUUUUCUAACUAGAGAUAGCUACUGACAAGGCAAUAUGUUUGAUAGUUUCAGUAAUCUUAACCAGCAUCCCACCUGAUUUUUACAUGUGUGGCCAAUGGCCUUACUAUGAACAUCCUAAAAAGUUCCUAGCCAAAAGGGGUUCUAUAUUUUUUCCGCAAGAUUUACAGCCAAGCUAAUCCUUUAGCUAACUGUAAUUAGGAACAUAAGAACAAAAAAUGGCACAGAGCCUCAGAAAUCAUAAAGUUUCAAGCGAAUUGAUGAAACCAGUUCGCCAGAGUUUAAUACUUCAUACACAAAUUUGUGAAGAAAUCUUUCGCGAUCCUUUGGCAGCAAAAAAUCCACACUUGAACUUGGAUAGUAGAAAAGUCCGUCUUAAAUUCAAUUAACUACUUUAGUUCCAAUUCCAUGCAAGCCAACACCUCUUCAAUCAAUUGCGAUUCUAUCUAUAAAAAAAAGUACCGUCCAAUUAAUAUGUGAAAACCAUGCUUAACGUUAACGGUUCACAUAUCAGAGGUGUGGAGUAACUGGUAAAGGGUAGAAUCAAUAUCAGGUAACAUUUUAGCAUAAUGGAGUUGGUCUAGUCAACCAAAUUCUCAGGCCUAAUAAAUUCUAACAGAGCAGCAGGUCUAUUCGGCAUCAUAAAGGGAAGUAAAUGAUUGAUUUGCAGGUCCAAUUCUUAUAAAAUUCAGUAUAAAUAAAAAUAAUUCAAAUAGAUUUGAAACCCAGUUCACCACAUCCCUAGGCAUUUUGUACAAUUACCCAUCAAAUAAUCUAAUAUCAAGUAAAAAGGAGGAAUUUGUUGAUUCCCAAUUUUGUGAAAGCCCGUGAGAGAGAAAUUGGAAAACCAAAAAACCAUUGAUGUAACAGAAAUUAAACAAUAUAGCAAGCACAUCAAUUAAUUAAAGCAUUUGUGUGUAUGAACACCAAAAAUUAUGGAGUCAAACUAGAAAAAUUGCAUAAAUUCUUACCCAGAAAAAAAGGGUUCUUUGUUGUUGCAGAGCGAAAACCAAACCAAACACAGGAUUGAUCGAAUUGGCACUUAACUUUUUGUAUAUAUCCUUUUCUUGCUUGCUUGUAGAGUUUUUCUUCUCUCGUUUUUUUUUCUCCUUCGACUCGUUUGGGUUUCCAACUCAAGAUGUCGGGAGAAUUUAUUUUUCUAUUUAUAAGACAUAAUCAUACGCAGCAAGUGUGAGUUUUUCGGACAAUCUCUGCGGUUGAGAGAUGCAUAAUAAGUG
rnacentral:lncRNA from 1 species